rnacentral:lncRNA from 1 species
GCCACGCCGGGUGCGGGCGUGUACGUGCGUCCUCGGGCAGCACCCGGGCGCGCGAGGUUAUAGGUCUGUGCUCCCUGCCGCAGUCUGUGGGGAUGGCUAUGUGUGCAGAAAAGGCAGGCUAUAGUGAAGAAAGCGUAUUGUCCGGUUUGAUGAAGCAUGUGAUAAAGCCAUUGAAUUCCGCGGUCAAAAUCCCACUGGCAAAUGACAGCCUCUGUAAAUGCAUCUCUUUACAGCAUUGUGGUGAUAGAGAAGACAGUCUCUGAGUUCGGGAAUGCUAGUGCUGGUGGAACUCCUGGGGGGCAGGGAGGGCAAGCACAUGAUUGGAGCAAAGGUCUAUCCCACUGAGGCUGAUUCUGCUGGAGGGGUC